rnacentral:rRNA from 2 species
UGGUGGCGAUAGCGAAGAGGUCACACCCGUUCCCAUGCCGAACACGGAAGUUAAGCUCUUCAGCGCCGAUGGUAGUCGGGGGGUUCCCCCUGUGAGAGUAGGACGCCGCCAAGCU